UGCAUUUAUAUCGAAGUUAAUGAAACGGAAUAAUUAUUUGAACAAAAAAGUCAAAGUUGACUUGCAGCACUGUGUUUGUAAAUUACGCACAAUAUUUAGUUAUGCAUACGCGACCGUGUAAUAUACACAGCGAAAUAAUCUGAAUGUGUCACGCUUCCCACGUAUAAUGAGGAAAAAUUAUUAUCAUUACGAUUACGUAAAGCGAUAAAAAGGUACGUGAAACUUCACACCAGUUUGUGUCACUUCGGAUGUUUGAAUAAACAUCAUUCCGGCAAAUUGAUGCAUGCGGAAACACAUGCUCGAGUUUCCCGGGCAACGUGACACUUCGCUGAACCGAGAGGAAGCGCAAAAUAUUUCGCCGUUAAGCGCCGAUGCCACCGGACUGGAAAAGAAUGUAUGCGCUCUCGUCGCCGGCUCGCAUUCUCUGGCGAUCUCCCAAAAGGUCGAAACGCUCUUCCUCUCGUGUCGCACAUCAACGAAGCAGCGAGAGAAACGAGAAUCGUGUUAACGGUGUUAACGCGCUUCUCUCCCCACGGUCUAAAAUCGAACGCCAGCAGUAACGAAGCCGAUGAAGCUCAUUAUUCUUGUUAAACCGCAUUGAUAACGAUCACUUGAACACAGUGAGGUAAACGUGCAUGUCGAAAAAUACGUGCAGUUACAGAUAAUUUUAUGCCACGGCAACGACUCAGCUGUACAUACAGCGGCUCGCCUAGACUCCGAUCGAAAGCGAGUACGUCCACGAAAUUAAUCGACUGAUUAGUUUCUCGAGUCGCGAGAUGUGCGACUGAUCGCCGGCUACUUUGGCGUAAUGGCACAAAGUACACGUGCGCGACGCCGACGACAUGCUGGUCUCCGGAAAGUGCGACCCGGAAGAAGUGUCUGGAAGUUACGUCCUGUGCCAGGACACUGCGUAACGUGAUGCGACAAAUGGAAAUGUUUCUCGAAAAUCGAUUCACGGGCGAUUCAAUCCAACGCGGGCGCAACAACACCACGAGGACGAUAUCCAUUAAACGUUAUUAGAAACGAAAUAAAUAUCUAAAUUGAGGGAGCUCUUCGGAACCGCAUGAUUAUACCGUACCCUCCAUAAGUUCGGAAACACUUUAUAAAAGUGUGUAAUAUGAAAGAUAUAAUACAUACUAAAAUCGAUGUACUUUGCUUUGUAAGUGUUUAUCCAACUAAAGAAAACUAAAACGAAGACACGUACGUGCAUACGACAAGCCUUUAAUAAAGAUUUAAAUUAAAUUUUAGACGCCUCGAAGUGAACGCCCGUUGCUUUAGUAACUGCCUUGUUUAACUUUUGCAGAGAUUCAGUCGGGAUACGUUUCCAUCCUUGCUGGAGAAUCUCUCAGAGAUGCACUUCACUCGUAAUUCGCUCUUUGCGAAUCCUCCUGUCUAAUUCGUUAUUUAAACGUAUCGUAAUUUCAUUGUUAUUUAUCGUAAGUAUAUCGUUAUUUAACAACUUACGAUAUAUUUAUACCAAACAUGUGCACAGGUCGCUGUUAUUUGUCUGUAAAAUACAGGGUCCAAACUUAUAGAGGGUACUAUAUAUCGAUCCAUAACUUUUACUUUAACAAAUAAUAGAAAUACAACUCGAACCACGCGUUCAUAUGAUGGACGUACAUGUGGAAUGAAUAAUUUAAUAAUAAUCGCAUAAGCAAUUGUUGCCAGCAGAUAUUUAGGAUUUAGUCGUUAGAUAAUAUUAAAGAUCGAACAAACAUCGAUAAACGUUUUCCCGGAUUCGCGUAAUCUUUCGGACAAUCUUCGAUGUGCCAGACAAACGAUCGUGACGGGUUAAUGAGACAGAGAAAGACACUUUAUAUCGACAUCACGCGAGUUGUCGAGAACACAGUAAAUACGUAGAUGCAUGCAUUUUCUUGACGAAUGCGUAUUUGCAUAUUUAUCGUUUCAACGCCACAUCGAGCUGCCGACCGAUUUCUCAGAGGUACGAGCUUAAACGCCUAUCGCACGAGAAAAUUAUACACGCGGCUAAACGCGUUUUUCUAACGGAUGCGGCACCAAGUUAAUCGCGAUUGCUAGAAAAUAUGCGAGACGAUAUUAAAAUUAUCAAUUUUAAUUUAUCAAUGCUAAAUUACGUGCGUUAAAAUUAGUGAAUUUUGUUACGAAAAAUUCACAAGAUUUCUCGUAGUCUCUCAUCGUAUACAAAUUAAAACAUACACACGACAGAUCGAGCCUUCUAAAAAUUUGCCAAAAUUCCCCAUGAGUAAGUAAACCUUGAUUUGACAAAGUGAAUACGCAACGAGAUUUUCUGACAUUUAUGAGUCUCGUGUGGCAUUUGACGAAAGCUCGAGUUGCACGUGUAUUAGAGAAUUUAUACCCCGCAGUUAUCAGAUUUCGAAUAUCGGCGUGCUAUUUGCAUCUCAUUUGUAUAACAGGCCUAUUCGAAAGAAACGUUACCGAUAAUCGAUUUAUCUAUUUUGCAAGCACAUCGUAGUUAAAGAACAUUAUCGGCGACGACCGCGCGUUUAACCGCAGUGUUCGACCUGAUUUUUUUUUAUCUAACUCUCGAGAAACACAAUUGCAAUAUCAAUCAAUAUUAAUAUCCUUGAAAUUUGUAUGCUACGGUAUCACUUUUCGUUAUUUUUGCCUCCGUCGUUUAUUAUAAUCCGGCUUUAAGAAUUUAAUCUGAAAUUUUGCCUGGGAAUGUUUAAUUUAAGCUUCCUCUGUUUAAAGUUAUUAGGAUAACAAACUCCUUCGGGUAGCGUUUGCCCGAAUAACUUUUUUCGUAUGAGACGUGUCUGCAAAAAAAACUCGGUUUAUAUAACGAACACGAUCGUGCGGUGCGAAGCGAUUACUCAUUGUCGCGAGUUCGCAAAAAAGCACGUGUGGCCUCUACCCUCGUCGCACGAGCCUUCACGUACGCAUACACAUGCGCGAGCAUGCUCUUGGCUAAGAGGACUUUAGAAAAUUAUCUGGUCAUCACCCGAUGAUCAAGCAAUACCGUACGCGUCCCCAUUUAGCCGGUUAUAUUUCAUUUUAAUAGGAAACACUUGUUCCAGGAAAUUUGUUAAAAGAUAACAUCGACAUUGUCCGAUAUCGAAUUUUACAUUCGGGUUUUAAUAGCUUAUUAUGUGAUAAUAAAAAUAUUACGUAGAAACUAAUAAUUGAGAAAGCCAAGCCCUUUAUGAAAUUAUUAAUUUAAUUAAUAAAUGUAUUAUGCUGGAUUAACGCGUAACUCUAUAUGUGACAUUUUUGCGUAGGUUUUAAAGUAGAAUUAUUAUUGUAUAUUGAAAUAAAUUAUAAUCGUCGUUGGAUACAAAAUGUAAGUGCGUGAAAUGUGCAUAAAAACAAAAUUUCGAAUUCUCUCACCUUUCAAUAAUUCUCUACUUAUAAUGUGUAGAAUUUAUAUUAAUUCACAUCCAAUUACAAAUGAAGUCAAGACUCGUGACAAAAUUGUAAUAAGAGAAAUAAUAAAGAGACAAUUAAAUUCCGUGUGUAAAAUUGAAGAGAUAACUUCUCAUGUUCUUGUCCAUUUCAUUUUUGAUCGUCCAAUUUUACUUAAAAGUUAAAUAUAAAUCCAAUCUUAAACCUUUUCCAAAAGUAGGAGGAAUAAAAUUACCUAAAAAUAUCUAACAAUGUUUUAUUUAUGUUAUGCAUUUAUACAUGGCUCAACUGUAUACGACCCAACGAAUAAACGAGAUUUCAUCGUCGCCGCGUCCACAUUCAGACAUUAUGGAAGCAACAGAUCGGACGAUUAUGGGAGCAUUCGUAAUAUUAUCUUUCCCCGGAAGAAAGAAAAAAAAAUUACGUCGAAAAAACGUUCCCGAUGUGUCACGAGGUAUUCUCUCGGUUCACUAAAUUUGCAUCAGCAAGUCAAAAUAUUCUCGCUAUGGAAUUCCCUUGACCCGUGAUCCACGACUCGAUAGAUUCGCGCGAGAAACGUUGUGUGCCGUGCACAAAGCAAGGGAAACAUUUCCAUAAAUGAAUUUGAAAACUUGUUCAGCAAAUGUUUUCAAAUGAAAGCAGCUACUGUCAAACAUUGGAAAAUUAAAUAUGAAUUAAAGCUACGUCGUUGCUCCGUUAUUUUUUUGUUUCCUUCAAAAUAUCUCAAACUUCCUAUUCUGGAAAAACUAAAAACAUAAACUCUUACGUCUAUUUUGAUGUACUUUCACGUAUGUUGAACUUGAUGUAUGUUCCUAAUGUAUUUUAGAUCUUGGCACAACUUUAGACUUUAUGACGUCAAUCGAUGAAUGCUCUAAUAAAUCUACUUGAACAAUGAAUAACAACGAGAUUAAAAAACCUAAUAAUAGUUUCUUUUAUUAAAUAUUUAAUUAAACGUGAUUCACACGGGAGAAUAAACGCACAUUUUAUCAGCUAUCCUGUUCAGUUGAAAUCGAAUUGCUCAUGUAAUCUUAUAAUCGUUAGAAAAAAGUAAUGAGAAAUAUGUAAAUUUGAACAAUUAAGCGAUAUUUAUCAGACUGCUGAAGGAAACAUUAGAAACAUUAUCUCUUGUAAUUAUCGAUUUAUCGUAAUGUCCUUUCAUCGUGCAUCUCGCGAUGACAAAGAACAUCGUUGCGUCCAACUUCAACCGUGUCCCACGUGAAACUUACGUUACAAUUAUCGCACACGCGAAUAUUCACUCGCUUCCUGCGCCAAGAAAUUCAUAAAAUCCAUUUCACGUGGCUGCCUGCGGUAUCAUUUCGAUUUACGUAAAUAAUAUCGCGUGUAUAAAUGCUAAUGCAGGCUUAAGAUGGGGAAUUGCCACCGUAACGCAUUUGCGCGGAACACAGGACUUUAGUGUUUACGGCACACGCAAAGUACGCGAUAAACUAGAUGUUACGAAAGCUCCCCCCUAUUAAUAGUACGUACAUGUGUAUCGAUCGGAGGGAGGGGGGGGAUACACCUUCAAGGAAGCUCGGCAAAUCAGUCUGCGCAGAGUGAUUACCUAUUGAUGACCCCUGCGUAUUCGACCAGUCUCGAAUCUGAUCUCGCGGGCGUUUUUAUCUGUGUAAAGGCCAUUCUACAAUUGCGUAAACG